rnacentral:pre_miRNA from 1 species
AGUCGGUUUCCAUCACGUCAAUUGCUAUCAGAGCAACGCAUGAUGUAUAAUAACUAAGCGUCGCUCUGAUACCAAAUUGAUGCAAUGGAAACAUCGAUU